UCCCCUGGGGGUCCCCUCACCCCAUCCCCUUCCCCCCAUCCCCAUGGGAUGCCCCCCUUUUCCCGUCCCCAUGGGGUCCCCUCACCCUGUCCCCUUUCCCCCAUCCCCAUGGGGUCCCGUGGGGGUCCCGUGGGGUCCCCCCGCACCCGCUGACCCCGCGGCCCCGCAGAGGAGACGUACGAGCAGCUGGCCAUGGAGACGCUGGAGGAGCUGGACUGGUGCCUGGACCAGCUGGAGGCCGUGCAGCCGCACCGCUCCGUCAGCGAGAUGGCCUCCAACAAGGUGGGGGACGCGGGGACAUCGUGGGGACGCCGUGGGGACAUGGGGACAUGGGGACAUCGUGGGGACAUGGGGACGUCGUGGGGACACGGGGACGUUGUGGGGACAUCAUAGGGACAUGGGGACAUCAUGGGGACAUCAUGGGGACAUGAGGACAACAUGGGGACAUCACUGGGACACCAUGGGGACAUGGGGACAUCAUGGGGACAUCAUGGGGACAUCAUGGGAACAUGGGGACAUCAUGGGGACAUGGGGACACCAUGGGGACAUGGGGACACCGUGGGGACAUCAUGGGAACAUGGGGACAUCAUGGGGACAUGAGGACAACAUGGGGACAUCAUGGGGAUAUGGGGACACAGGAACGUCAUGGAGACAUGAGGACACCAUGGGGACAUGGGGACACCGUGGGGACAUGGGGACACCAUGGGGACAUCAUGGGGACAUGGGGACACCAUGGGGACAUGAGGACACCGUGGGGACAUCAUGGGGACACCAUGGGGACAUGGGGAUACCAUGGGGACAUGGGGACAUCAUGUGGACAUCAUGGGGACAUCAUGGGGACAUGGGGACAUCAUGGGGACAUGGGGAUGGGGCCCCUGCUGCGCCAUGGGGACCGGGGGGGAACGGCUCCACCAUGGGGACGGGGACGGUGCCAUCGUGGGGACAGGGAUGGGGACAUGGCUCCGUCAUGGGGACAACUCUGUCAUGGGGACAGGGAUGGGGACGUGGUUCCACCAUGGGGACGUGGCUCCGUCACGAGGACAGGGAUGGGGACGUGGCUCCGCCAUAGGGACAGGGAUGGGGACGGGGAUGGGGACAGCUCCGUCAUGGGGACACAUCUGGGGACAUGGCUCCAUCAUGGGGACAUGGCUCCACUGUGGGGACAGGAAUGGGGAUGGCACCGUCAUGGGGACACAUCUGGGGACAUGGCUCCGCCGUAGGGACAUGGAUGGGGACAGCUCCGUCAUGGGGUCAGGGAUGGGGACAGGGAUGGGGACAGCUCCAUGUGCUUGGGGACAUGGCUCCGCCAUAGGGACAGGAAUGGGGACAGGGAUGGGGACGGCACCGUCAUGGGGACAGGGAUGGGGCCAUGGGGUUGGGGACAGGAACCUGUCACCUUUAUGGGGUCAGGGACUGGGACAGGAACCUGGCACCGCCGUGGGGACACGAAUGGGACGCAGCUGCUAUGGGGACGGGGACGGGACCCUGCUCCAUAUGGGGACAGGGAUGGGGACAGGACCCCCGUUGUGCUGUGGGGACGGGUCCCCAGCGCCGCUGUGGGGUCAGGGACAGGGCUUUGGGGUCAGGAACGGGGUUUUGGGGACAGGGACAAGGCUUUGGGGUCAGGGAUGGGACUUUGGGGUCAGGGACAGGUCUUUGGGGUCAGGGAUGGGACUUUGGGGACAGGGACAAGGUUUUGGGGUCAGGGCCGGGGCUUUGGGGUCAGUGUCCGGGGCUGCUCGGGUGCGUGGUCCCCAGGGUGACCCUUGGGGUCCCCACCCCAUUUCUGGGUGGCCCUUGGGGGUCCCCA
rnacentral:lncRNA from 1 species